AAGGAUCAUUAUCGAGUUUUGAACGGGUUGUCUGCUGGCUCGCAAGGGCAUGUGCACGCCUGUCUCAUCCACUCUCAACUUCUGUGCACUUUUCAUAGGCCGGCUUGUGGGUGCGUUCGCGCACUUGUAGGUGUCGGGCUUAUGCUUUACUACAAACGAUUCAGUUUUAGAAUGUCAUACUUUGCUAUAACGCAAUUUAUAUACAACUUUCAGCAACGGAUCUCUUGGCUCUCGCAUCGAUGAAGAACGCAGCGAAAUGCGAUAAGUAAUGUGAAUUGCAGAAUUCAGUGAAUCAUCGAAUCUUUGAACGCACCUUGCGCUCCUUGGUAUUCCGAGGAGCAUGCCUGUUUGAGUCUCAUGGAAUUCUCAACCUUCGGCUUUAUUGACGAAGGCUUGGACUUGGAGGUCGUGCCGGCUCUCGUAGUCGGCUCCUCUGAAAUGCAUUAGUGCGAACGUUACCAGCCGCUUCAGCGUGAUAAUUAUCUGCGUUGCUGUGGAGGGUAUUCUAGUGUUCGCGCUUCUAAC
rnacentral:rRNA from 1 species